rnacentral:rRNA from 1 species
UACGUAGGGUGCAAGCGUUAAUCGGAAUUACUGGGCGUAAAGCGUGCGCAGGCGGUUGUGCAAGACCGAUGUGAAAGCCCCGGGCUUAACCUGGGAAUGGCAUUGGUGACUGCACGGCUAGAGUGUGUCAGAGGGGGGGUAGAAGUUCCACGUGUAGCAGUGAAAUGCGUAGAGAUGUGGAGGAAUACCGAUGGCGAAGGCAGCCCCCUGGGAUAACACUGACGCU